AAUGAACGCUGGCGGCAGGCCUAACACAUGCAAGUCGAACGGAUCCUUCGGGAUUAGUGGCGGACGGGUGAGUAACGCGUGGGAACAUACCCAGAGAAAUUUGGAUUAAUGCCCCAUAGUAUAAUGACUCGGCAUCGAGAUAUUAUUAAAGUCACAACGGCAAAAGAUGAGCAUGCGUCCCAUUAGCUAGUUGGUAAGGUAACGGCUUACCAAGGCGACGAUGGGUAGGGGUCCUGAGAGGGAGAUCCCCCACACUGGUACUGAGACACGGACCAGACUCCUACGGGAGGCAGCAGUGAGGAAUAUUGGACAAUGGGCGCAAGCCUGAUCCAGCCAUGCCGCGUGCAGGAUGAAGCAUCUAUGGUGUGUAAACUGCUUUUGUACGAGAAGAAACACUGCUUCGUGAAGCAGCUUGACGGUAUCGUAAGAAUAAGGAUCGGCUAACUCCGUG
rnacentral:rRNA from 1 species